rnacentral:snRNA from 1 species
AAAAAGGGUGUUUGUCGCUUAGAUGGCACGCGUGCCGCGAGGUGCGCGGGGUAUGGACAUCAAGACAUACCCAACACGUCAUUUUUGGAACGGAGAGGCAGUUGGCUACCCUCAUGUACCGGCGCCUCC